AGGAUAAUCAAUCUCCAACCCCCCCUGCCACAGGGACAGCCACUUCCCAGAAGCUAUGCUGGUGUUAAGGGAUUUGUGAAUUGAAGUAGAAGUUUGGUGUAAAUAAACAGCUGACUUUAUAAUUGAUACUAGGAAUUUCCAGAGCAAUUCAAGUAAAUGGAAUUUUUGAAGAAGAAAAAUAACCUUUGUCGAAAAAGACGUACUGAAUGCAAUAUAAAAAGAAUGGAGUGGAAAAUUCUGAGAUUCUCAACUUUUGAAGUGUGGGAUAAAUGCCUAAGUACUAAGGCAAAGAAAAAGCUCAUCUCCAACAGCUCUGUGAGCCAAGAUGCAGAAUUCCAUUUUGAAAGAUUUGAUCUCCAAAGAGAUAUAGGUGAAUCUUAGCUAUCUUCAUAGGGAUUAAUGUUAUUAUUAAUUUCUCUUCAGUUUUGAAAAUGUUUAUACAUAGCUUAGAAUGAUAAUGCUUUUUCUAAUAUUUGGGUUUGACUGUGUGUACCAAUAUGAAGAACUGCAGAGGUGCAGUCAGGUCACCAGCAAUCCUAAAGCAAAAUACAGAGAAAGAAAUUAAAAAAGAGCGGCUUGCCUGUGCUAACUUAAUUGACAAACUGUCUCACAAGUGACUUAAUCAUAGGAGGAAAAGAGGACAAUAAUAAGAUAAGAAGAUGCAUUUUUCUGUGGUGGCCACAGAUGAAUUUGAAAAGAUUAUGGCAAGGGACCUUUGGAAGGAAUGUGAUUUUCUUUCAACUCCACUAUGAAAAUAGAAUACAAUACAGUGCAUAUAUACAA